rnacentral:lncRNA from 1 species
AAGAAUGAAAGCAUACUUGUUCCUCAUGUAUUGCUAAGUCAAAGACCAGAUCCUUUGGGGAAGCAAGUCAUAUAACCUGAUCAAUAUGUGCAUGUGUGUGGAUGGUGUAUAUGGUGGAUGGUAUGUGAACUCCUUUUUGUAUUAUAUUUCUCUCUCCUUUGCUUUUUCUUUGGAGACAUGGGCUAUCUUUUCUUCUCUUUCUUUUUUUUCAUGCUUUCAUGAGCAUGUACUUUAUUUCUCUUUGCAUAGCCCAAGUCCCUUUUGCAAGGAUUACUUUGGAGAGAGAGGUCAUAAAAGAACAUGGAACUUAUUCUAUGAAUGAAUGAAAUGACGGUUGCUAACUUCCAGUGUAGAAGUUUAGCAAAUGGUGGUGGCGUGUACGUGAUCUUGAUCAUGGGAGUAUGACAAGUUUUUCACUAAGGGUCACAACAAUUUGACAAAGCUCAAUGAGAGAACGAGCUGCAUAUGUGGAGGCUAUGUAAUAGGAUCAACAUAUGGCCUUGGAUAGGAAUUUCUCGUCAUUGAGGAACUUAUCAUUUUAGCAUUCUCAAAAAUAAAACUCCAAAUAUCAAGCAUCAUGUAGAACAAGAUCAUAGCAACUCUAUUCUAC